UACGUAGGGAGCAAGCGUUGUCCGGAAUCAUUGGGCGUAAAGCGCGCGUAGGCGGCCCCGUAAGUCCGCUGUGAAAGUCAAAGGCUCAACCUUUGAAAGCCGGUGGAUACUGUGGGGCUAGAGUCCGGAAGAGGCGAGUGGAAUUCCUGGUGUAGCGGUGGAAUGCGCAGAUAUCAGGAAGAACACCCGCGGCGAAAGCGGCUCUCUGGAACGGUACUGACGCUGAGACGCGAAAGCGUGGGGAGCGAACAGG
rnacentral:rRNA from 1 species